GUUGGAUUUCCUGUACUGCAUAUCUGUUAUUUUUUUGUUUGUGUGUUAUAUUAACUAGCUUUUCUGGUUAAGGUACUGUUGAAUCUGUUCCCACCAGAGCCCUCUCGUGGGCACGAUAUAUAUGUAAGUGAGGAAAACACAAACACCCUUGUCACUACUGGAGAGGAUGGCCUAAAAUUCUGGGAUUUAAGGUAGCAUAAACUCUACUAGGAACUGUGCAAUCAAUAGUUCAAAUCUUUGUUGUCGACAAAACUACUGUUUGUCAGGCCAUUUCUGAUAGCAUAUAUGGAGCUGUGUCGAGGCUUAUGCUUUGUAACAGAUGCAAAUUAAUAAGACGUCGCCUUUAAAUCGCUCGUGCCACCGCCUGUUAUUUUCGUGUCCCGCCGAGGGCAUUUUCGUCAUUUCGCAUCCGGGCGUAUAAAAGGCAGCCGUUCCAGUGGAGGUAACCUAGCCUUCUGCCCAUCCCGCACUCGCGCCGCGCCCCUCUCCUCUCUCUCCCUCCAAACCCUAGCUAGACCGCGCCCGCCUCCCUGCCCCGCCGCCGUCGUCUCCUCCACCCGGCCAGCCGCCGCCGCUCGCGCCCGUCUCCUCCGGCCAGCCUCCGCCCGCAACCUCCCCCCUCCCGUUUUCAGAAGGGAAGGGAAGGAAGAGAAGAGGGAGAGCGAGCGGGUCAGGCGACGGGAAGGGAAGAGGAGAGGGAGAGCGAGCGGGUCAGGUGACGGCCAUGGCCAUGGCGCUCGCAGUCUCUCCUUCCCCAUUCAUCCUCUCGAUCCGCUGCCGCCACCACCCCUAUCUCUCCUCCUCACACAUCCUCUCUCCUCGUCACCUCUGGCCGGAGGAGAACACUGCGGCGGCAUCUCCUGGCGAUGGCAGUGGGGGCGGGUGAGGCUGCAAGGCGACGAGCCAAGGCGGCAGAGGAUCCGGUUCGUAUGCUGUUGUUGCUGCCGAUGGACGGAUGAGGCGCUCUCAGAUCACUCCCCACGGGCCUCCUUCGUCUUCCAAGUCCCAACCAUGGCCGGCUCCAACCCCUCCUCUGUUAUUGUUGUGCUCUUGUAGGAGAAGAAGAAGAAUAGGCAUGAUCUCUGUAUACAUCCAGUGUAUUUGGUUGGAUUACUUUCGUUCUCUGAGAAAUUUGGUGAGUCCAAGAUUUAAUUUCCUUGUUGAAUAGACAACAUAUAGGAUGAGAAUGUGUAUGUUUGCUGAUUUUGGUGGUUUGGACAUGGAUUUGGCGGCAGAGAAGGGACACAGGAAGAGUAUUUCGUGGAGGGAUGUGUCCAACACUAUUGUAUGAAUUAAAUACACACUACCUGUUUGAUGAAAUGCAAGUAUAAUUCUCGUUAUACUUUGGUUUCACAAUCUUUCUGUUGUUUUUCUUCAUGUAGCAUCAUUUUUUAUUGCAGGCAUUGAUAUAUUUCUAUUUGUGCUCAUGCUAGGCAAUAUGAAGUCUUUAGUCUACACAUUAUCUGAUUUUUAGCUGCUCAUUAUCCCAUCAUUUUUUUAUUGCAGGCAUUGAAAAAUAAAAGAAAUAAGAGACCCACGGCCUGUACUUAAGGUCUAGGAUCUGCUAGGUUGGUGGAUCUGCGAGCUUGCGGUUCCUGUUGUUGAUCAACCGCUGCUUCGGUUCGGUGGAGGUUUAAUCAACCAAGUGAGUGCAGUUGCAAACCAGCUGUGCGGCUUAUAGGAGCACUUGCGCCAUCUUUGUAAUGGCAAACACCAUUCCCUUGAUUGUUCAUUAGUCAUCUUCUCCUCAUGAUAUGAUACUGGAAGGAUGUCAUGAUGGAACGGUUGCUUUAUGGAGGUCUCCACAAACUUGCCGUCAGAAGACAUUUUAAUGGUACUGUUGAAUCUGUUCCCACCAGAGCCCUCUCGUGGGCACGAUAUAUAUGUAAGUGAGGAAAACACAAACACCCUUGUCACUACUGGAGAGGAUGGCCUAAAAUUCUGGGAUUUAAGGUAGCAUAAACUCUACUAGGAACUGUGCAAUCAAUAGUUCAAAUCUUUGUUGUCGACAAAACUACUGUUUGUCAGGCCAUUUCUGAUAGCAUAUAUGGAGCUGUGUCGAGGCUUAUGCUUUGUAACAGAUGCAAAUUAAUAAGACGUCGCCUUUAAAUCGCUCGUGCCACCGCCUGUUAUUUUCGUGUC